UGUGUGUGUGUGUGUGUGUGUGCGUGUGUGUGUAUGAAGGCUUUAGUUCACUGGUGAUCCAAGCGAAUAGGUACAGUGAGUAAGUGCCAUAAUUGGUCAUCUGUUAGGUUCCAACUUGACAGCUGAGGCUGGAGUUAGGGAUCCAUAUUAGGC